UGCCUAAAACAUAGCGUUAAUGCAUCAGAUCCCAUUAGAACUCCGUAGUUAAGCGCACUCAGGAUAAAGUAGUACUGGGAUGGGUGACUACCUAGGAAGUCCUAGUAUUUUACAUGC
rnacentral:rRNA from 1 species